UGAUCAUCAACGGAACCAAGUGCUUGUAUGGAAAACUUUUUCAAUUGACGAGAUAUCUUCACUAAAUUUGGUGUGAAUUAUUGCCUACAGCAAUAAUCCAAUCUCCGAAGAAAUUGUUUAGAUUGGAUCACUAUGAUAUAUAGCACCAACUGAUUCUAACUUACUCUAAGCAACGCCAGGAAACUGGAAAGUAAUUAAAACUGAACGUUAAAACAACAGCGAAAAAUGAAUGUCUACAUAAAUAUGUAAAAAAUAUGUCUGCCAUAGACCACAGCAUUCAAUAGCAAAGAUAAUGUAGUGAAAAAAGUGUAAAUUAUGACAUUUAAACGCCUGCGGAUUUACCGCGCCACAAAGAGAAAAAUAUGCAAAUUUCUCUUUUCAACAAGAAAAGCAAAAGGCUUACACAAAAAAUAAAAAUAAAUUGUAAAAAGCCGACUUGACUUAUAUUUUUAAGCAUUGAACAACAACAACAACUAUAUAAGCCGACGAUGCAUUGCCACUGCUAACCAAACAUCAAAAUUUAAGAUAUGGCAACCGCACAUAAAACAACAAGUCAAUCCAAAAAAAAAGGUGGUAGCUGUGUAAAAUUCGGAAAAGCAGCCUAAACUAUAAAGCAACAAAAUUGGCAUUACAACAAAUAAGCAUAAUUAUGGAAACAGUCACAAAUCAGUUAAAAGCAUAAAUUCAAUUAAAAUCCAACUGGUUUUAUGCCGACAAAACGAAAGACUUAAGCAGCAAACGCGUCAAUGCCUACAUACUUGCAAUGCCAGCACAUAGCCACAUAGUAUAUGUAAGUAGAAGGUUGCACAGGAUGUAGCAUUGGCUGCAAACUAACCAAAAACAGCGGCGAUAAUGUUGCAACUUUUUGUUGUUGUUGUUGUACAAAAUGUUGCAAAAACCUAUUUCUAUAUAUAUAAAUAUGUGUGUGUUUAUAUCUAUAGAUAUAUAUGUGCGUAUAUAGCCGAUACUUGUGCUAAGCUGGUUGCGACCGGCGUUUGAAAAGUAGAAUUGGGUCGCUGCUUUGACACAGCAGUUUUUUCUUCAAAUACAAAUAUAUGUGUAAAUAAUAUUUAAACGCCGUAGUGAAUGCAGAAAAGAGGUCAUUAUGACGAUUACGACGCACAUGCUUGGUGAACGCAGCAACAAAAAAGUGGAGUGAUUGAAAAAAACCUGAAAUUAUAAAGUACUCAGUGACUAUCUAAAGAUCAAAAUAAAGUAGAAGUGUUUUGGUAUUCAUUGCGAAGAGUUACAGUUAUUGAAAUGUGAUGCAAGAGCAUUUGGUGAUGGAAGCAAAAACAAGUAAACACAUUUAUGAUCAAGGCAAAUCAAAUACUAAUUUCAUACUUGGAUUAUGACUUAAUGUCAUAUGAUCUGAACGAGUAAGCAGUAAAGAGAAGCGAGUAAGAAAUACGGACGGAACCAAACAAAAAAUACACACUCAGAUUCUAAUAACGGCUACGUUGGACUGGUCAUAUUAUUCGCACCGAUGAAAACUAUCUUCCUAAACAAAUUCUCCUGGGCAGAUGCAGAAAUAAAAGGAGCAGACAGAGCAAAACUUAGUUAGAUUGAUAGUGGGGACCACUGGGGAGAAUUCAAGCAAGAGACAAAAACAAUUGAAGAACUAAAUUGCUGCAAGCGAAGACACGCACCGCGUUGUGGAGCUAAUGAUGAAAAUUUAUAUAAGAUAUGGUCAAAUUUAAGCGACAAAUAACUAUUCGACUAUGGAAAAUUCCAAACAUUAGAAAGUGUUCUGCAAUUCGCUGUGAUUACAAAACAGCAGCAGUUUUUCAAGCUGGUAGAAGAAAAAAAUUCACGCUAUUGUUGAAAGACAAGCAAUAAACAAACGGAGAAACAAUGUCACAAAGCGCGAUGGCCUCCAGUAGUUAAAGCGGUGUUUGAGACUGCGCAGCAUACAAAGGCGGAUUUAGAAGUUUAAUGUGAAAUGAAUGAGAAUUGGCUAAAGGUAGCACUAAAGUUCGAGGAGACUUUGUUUGUCUGCAACGCUUGCAACAAGCCGGCAACUUACUAGUAGAAAUGAAUUGUUGUAAGGAAUAGAGAUGUACUCAUAUGCGGAGACUGGGUCAACGCGCUGUGUCAAUUUAGUAUAUAUGUACAAUUAUGUAUACUUAUUAAUCGUUUAAGAUAAAAAAUUGUAUUUAAAAACACAUGUCAACUUAUAGACAAUAGAAAAUGAAAAUGAAAAGUGUCUAAAAUAUAUCUGAAGAAAUGG